AUGGCUCAGGACGAACGCUGGCGGCGUGCCUAAUACAUGCAAGUCGAGCGGACAGAUGGGAGCUUGCUCCCUGAUGUUAGCGGCGGACGGGUGAGUAACACGUGGGUAACCUGCCUGUAAGACUGGGAUAACUCCGGGAAACCGGGGCUAAUACCGGAUGCUUGUUUGAACCGCAUGGUUCAAACAUAAAAGGUGGCUUCGGCUACCACUUACAGAUGGACCCGCGGCGCAUUAGCUAGUUGGUGAGGUAACGGCUCACCAAGGCAACGAUGCGUAGCCGACCUGAGAGGGUGAUCGGCCACACUGGGACUGAGACACGGCCCAGACUCCUACGGGAGGCAGCAGUAGGGAAUCUUCCGCAAUGGACGAAAGUCUGACGGAGCAACGCCGCGUGAGUGAUGAAGGUUUUCGGAUCGUAAAGCUCUGUUGUUAGGGAAGAACAAGUACCGUUCGAAUAGGGCGGUACCUUGACGGUACCUAACCAGAAAGCCACGGCUAACUACGUGCCAGCAGCCGCGGUAAUACGUAGGUGGCAAGCGUUGUCCGGAAUUAUUGGGCGUAAAGGGCUCGCAGGCGGUUCCUUAAGUCUGAUGUGAAAGCCCCCGGCUCAACCGGGGAGGGUCAUUGGAAACU
rnacentral:rRNA from 1 species